UACGGGGGGGGCAAGCGUUGUUCGGAAUUACUGGGCGUAAAGGGCGCGUAGGCGGUCUUGCAAGUCCCGUGUGAAAUCCCUCGGCUCAACUGAGGAAUGGCACGGGAAACUGCUUGGCUUGAGUUCGGGAGAGGGAAGCGGAAUUCCGGGUGUAGCGGUGAAAUGAGUAGAGAUCUGGAGGAACACCGAUGGCGAAGGCAGCCUUCUGGGCCAACACUGACGCUCAUGCACGAAAGCGUGGGGAGCAAACAGG
rnacentral:rRNA from 1 species